UCAGACGAGUCUUGACCUGGAUGAUAACCAAUCCCAAACAUAUCCGCCUUUACCACAAUGCCUAUGAUCUGUCCCCAGCCUGGGAUCCCUCCAUUUCUCACCACUUCCAAUGCCUGCUUGUAAGAAGAAAUGGACGGCUUUUCCUCUUUCUCAACACCAAUGGCAUUUUCCACCUUGACGGUUUCAGUUGCCAGACUGGGUGCUUUACGUCUUAC
rnacentral:lncRNA from 1 species